UUUUUUAAUGGCAAAGAAGGAGAAAUUAAAAAUAGUGUAAAGGAUGUCGAUUAUUUAUUGAAAUAUUGUUCACACAUUUGUUGUAUUAGUUUUAGGCAUAAAGUGUAGUCAUUUCAUAUAUCUAUAAAUUAUGUUGUACUCAACCACAAGUGUAGCUAUCAUGUGAAAUCAUGCAACAUUAUUAUUACAGGAUUGACUCUAUUUCAUUGGCUGUACCUUGUAGCCCUAGGACUUAUUCAUUCCAUAGCUGGAAGCUGGUAUCUCUCUCUCAAACGUGUCAAUUCUUUAUCUCACCUAAGUAGUUUGGAGGUAAACACAAUUACCUCUUGUUCAGCAUGUGUAAAUAGGUGGGCUAUUUUUCUGUGACACUUGCUGCAAGCGUUACAAAUGAUGUCAUUACAUAAAUAAAUGUGGUUUAAUUCUUCACUCACAAGAAAGGGGAAGGAAAAGAUUUCUUAGUGUCCCAGGCCCUGUCACUAAGACCCCUCCCAAUGUGGAGAACAGGCUUAUUUGCGAGAACACCUUCAGUCCCUCAGCUGAGGGCCAUGGCCUUCAACAUUGCAGGAAUUCCCAUGGUGGCCAGCAGACGGCGUGCGAGCACCACAAACCCUGGGGGCAGGCUCCUCUCUAUGCACGGUAAUUGCCGGCAGAGGGCGCCCCAUCGGCUUUUCUGACCCAGGGCACCUCAGAGCAGGAAGGGCUUCUGUUGCUCCCAGAGCACUCAGGGCCUCUGCCCUUGCCUGAGGACAGAGACCAGAGCUGCGUUUCCAGCUGGUUCUGCUGCCCUCUCCAGGGGAGACCUUGGGAGCCUUGCAGUAACUUGGUGUCUCCUGAGUCGCCAGAGAGAAGCUGCCUUGUUGCACUGAGUGUUGAGGAGAGGGCCCUGGGUGGCUUCCCUGGGCACUGGCCAGUCGGUCAGCAGCACAGGCCCUUGCAUUUUGUGGGCUGUUCCCGUGUUUCAUUCCUCACUUUCCCGGACAGUAUUUGAACAAGACGUAUUUUAUUAAAGGACCUGUGGAUCGAGGGGUCUCACGACAUCACAUCAUGGAUGCUGUGGAUGGUUUGCUCCAGAUUCAGGCUGGUUUCCAGGGAGAAAUCCUGACAGAAAUUCAGAAGACCGGGAGCUGCAUUCAGUUAGGAUGUGAAGACAUGAAAUAUUCGUCUCAGGACCGUCUAGAAGAAUGAGCUGGGACCCACUUUCCGAGUCCUGCUGGAACCAAAGACCGAGAUAUUUCCCAGGUGUCUGAAUGCCUGCACUGGGGUACCUCCUUUUCUGAUGGACUGGAUUCCCAAAGCUCUUCUGAAAUACUACAUGGAGUUGGCUGUCUGCUGAAUUCAUACAGAGUUAUGGCACCUCAGGUGCCAUGAUUUUUUCCAGACUGCUACAAACAAAAUAAAAGCCACCAAAUGAGAAAAAGAAUAAAACACGGCUAGAGCUAAAGCACAAGCAACAACAGAAAUAACAGUUGAUGUUUAAAAAAAGAGCAAAAAGAGCUCUGCAGACCUCAGUUCUCCUGAUAAAUUCUAGCUCAUCAAAUCUAGGCAUGACCCGGUUUUGACACCAUUAACAUAUUUCCCCAUUCUAAAGUUUGAAAGGACGAUGAGAGGCCGAGGCCAGCCCUAAACUCUUGCCAGGAUAUUAGAAUAUCAUCAUGCUAUCAAAAAGCCACUUAGGAACCUCUGAGCUUCCCUGUCCCUUGUCACCCAGCCCCACAGGCGGGUAAGUGAAAAGGAACACACCAAAUACUCAAUAUUUGUGUUUCUGUGUGAAGGCAAGUUUUCUCCAGUGGCAGGGAGAGGGGCAAAUACUCAUUUAGAAAUAAAUUCCAAAGUACUCUGUUCUUCCAGAAAAGAUCUGCCCUCAAGAGGAACGAAGAGCCUAACUGGGGAUUUCCCAAAGAGUAAGCAAUACAGGUGAGGGAAAAUACUCAACUCCAGGGCUCUCACCUUCCUGUCUCACCUGGGAGUCAAUUCAGACUAACCCCUAGCCAGAUAAAUAUAAAAACCUCACACUCAUGUCCUAUUUACCUCAGUUCCUUUACCAGCACAUAACAUUUGC